UACGGAGGGUGCAAGCGUUAUCCGGAUUCACUGGGUUUAAAGGGUGCGUAGGUGGGUUGAUAAGUCAGUGGUGAAAUCCCCGAGCUUAACCUGGGAACUGCCAUUGAUACUAUUGAUCUUGAAUACCGUGGAGGUCAGCGGAAUAUGUCAUGUAGCGGUGAAAUGCUUAGAUAUGACAUAGAACACCAAUUGCGAAGGCAGCUGGCUACGCGAAUAUUGACACUGAUGCACGAAAGCGUGGGGAUCAAACAGG
rnacentral:rRNA from 1 species